UACGGAGGAUGCAAGCGUUAUCCGGAUUUAUUGGGUUUAAAGGGUGCGCAGGUUGUUUGACAAGUCAGUGGUGAAAGUCUGCCGCUUAACGGAAGGAUUGCCAUUGAUACUGUUGGACUUGAGUAUGGAUAAGGUAUGCGGAAUGUGUAGUGUAGCGGUGAAAUGCAUAGAUAUUACACAGAACACCGAUUGCGAAGGCAGCAUACUGGGCCAUUACUGACGCUGAGGCACGAAAGCGUGGGGAUCAAACAGGAUUAGAUACCCUGGUAGUCCACGCUGUAAACGAUGAUCACUCGCUGUUUGCGAUAUACAGCAAGCGGCUGAGCGAAAGCAAUAAGUGAUCCACCUGGGGAGUACGAUCGCAAGGUUGAA
rnacentral:rRNA from 1 species